AAACUUUCAACAACGGAUCUCUUGGUUCCGGCAACGAUGAAGAACGCAGCGAAUUGCGAUAAGUAAUGCGAAUCGCAGAGCCUAGUGAGUCAUCGAAUUUUUGAACGCAUAUUGCGCCUGCCAGUUUUCUGGUAGGCAUGCCUGUUCGAGCGUCAUUU
rnacentral:rRNA from 1 species